CAGCGGAGCAUGUGGUUAAUUCGAAGCAACGCGAAGAACCUUACCAGGUCUUGACAUCCUCUGACAAUCUGAGAGAUCAGACUUUCCCUUCGGGGACAGAGAGACAGGUGGUGCAUGGUUGUCGUCAGCUCGUGUCGUGAGAUGUUGGGUUAAGUCCCGCAACGAGCGCAACCCCUGUGGUUAGUUGCCAUCAUUUAGUUGGGCACUCUAAGCAGACUGCCGUGGAUAACACGGAGGAAGGUGGGGACGACGUCAAAUCAUCAUGCCCCUUAUGACCUGGGCUACACACGUGCUACAAUGGUCUGAACAGAGGGCUGCGAAACCGCGAGGUGAAGCUAAUCCCUUAAAACAGAUCUCAGUUCGGAUUGCAGGCUGCAACUCGCCUGCAUGAAGUUGGAGUUGCUAGUAAUCGCAGAUCAGAAUGCUGCGGUGAAUGCGUUCCCGGGUCUU
rnacentral:rRNA from 1 species